AAAUAUAGCAAAAACUAGACGUUUAUUUGUGUUGUGACUGGUUUUCCUGUCUUCCCGUGACGUCACGCGUUGUUUCCCUAACUCCCCCCUGAGCGCGUGGUCCCGGGCGCGAGCCGAGAGCCGCGCGACUGAUCACCACGGAAUAUAAACACAAAGAAGCCGCAUCAGGAGCUCCACACCGGACCCGGUAAGGACGCUACAGCUGCCGCGAUUCAAGAUAAAAAGAAAAUAUAAUAAUUCCACCUUAAGAGAGAACACAAACAGAUGCUGAGAGGUCCGGCCACGGCUCCUGAAUCCAGACGAAACUUCUGUGAAUGAGAAAGGAUGCAAAUGUGGAAGCAGUUGGUGUUGGAUUCAGUUUCUCUGCGUUUUUUUUUUUUUUU